CUGAAGGAGCGCAGCAGCUUCAAUACACGCAAUACGGUACAACUCCGCAUUUCCCCCUCCCCUGCGCAGUUCCUCUUCUCCGACGGACACAUUGAACCUGGCAUUGGAGAAUCCAAUCAUUCCAAUCUCCCCGCAAGUUAGUCUGUAGUCGGCAACCUGCAGGACGUGUCGCCGCCGUUCAAUAAACAGCGGUUCGUGUCGGAUUCAAAUUUUAAUGCAUAUGUGUGAUGUAAUUUUGAGAUCAUUUUGAGCCUCAGAUUUGCAAUUUUAAUCUUAAACAUCUGCUUCCUUAGAAUUACUCCGCGUCAUGUAGUUAUUUGUUAUGUUUGUGCUGUGAAAUCGUCUCGUUCAGUAGUGUGAUAAGCCUCAGCGAUUUUGUUUGUUUAUGUACGUAACUCCAUUCAAUUUUCACCUGUAUUGGAAAUCUUAUCAACGAGCAGCAGUUAUUCUCUUAAAGCAGACUCCAGCAUUGGUGCCUCAUGGUCGGAAUAAUCUCUUGGCAAAAAAAUUGCGCCCCAAUCGUGGAAUUAAUCCUGCGCCAAACCCUCCAAGCGAUUUUUUGACCUCUUUACGGUUAGUUCAUUUUUUCUUCUUGCCUUUGAUCAUUUGAUGAACCUCUCAUUGUAUUGCUUAAUCAACAGAGCUCUCGUAGUCAUCCCAGUCAUAUCAGCACUCGGAUCAUUUUGAGGUUCUGCCAUUGCAUGCAGAACGAAUGGUUUUUGAAAACUAUACCCAGCACCUUUUCUCUUAUUAAAACCCGAAGCCCUUCCAUUGAAUGUUGACAAUUCG
rnacentral:lncRNA from 1 species